rnacentral:snoRNA from 1 species
AUUAUUUGCCUUCAUGGGCUAUUUCUAUAGUUGGGUCUAGAGAAAUUUCUCUGAACCAUAUAAGAAAAUGACAAGGAAGAGGUGCAACAUUCUUCCAAGUGUGAAACCAGCUCUUGAUGUUGCCUUGCUGCAACUCUUGCCUGCCAUUGAUGAUCAUUGUUUUGGGAUCUACCAGCUCUGU